rnacentral:lncRNA from 1 species
CUGCUCUUAGGAGCCCUCAUCCCACUCCUGUUCUUUCUUUUCUUGGUCCUUCUUUUUGUAAUAGGCUGAUCUCCAGCCCUUUCAGCCAAGUGCUCCUUGGAGCCCCACCCCUUGGCUUUUGGGUACCUUUCUAUAAUGCCAUGAUUUUUCUCCCACUCUGGCUGUUUAACACUUUCUUCUUAAUCCUUUUUAUUUCCCUGCUGGAUGUGACGUCUGCAUAUCUCUAGCUGCCCUGCCCAUCUUGCUUUUCUCCUCCCUUCCCUGUAAUCUGGGAUAAUCUUCCAUGUUUUGCCUUAUGUUUGACUAUUUUAUAAAGGUAUUGGCCGUCAGGCAAAAGCCUCACCACCCAGACAUUUUAUUGCCCUUUGGUGCUUUCUGCAGUUCCAAGUAUGGGAAAAGAGUACAUUCUCUUGUGUUAUAUUUUUUGUCAGGAGAUGACCUCCAGAGUAAAACAAACAAAUUCAUCUUAAAUCAGGAACCUUUGGAAGAAGCAGAAACCUUAGCUGUGUCAUCAGGAUGUCCUGCGACAAGUGUUUCUGAGGGAAUUGGGCUCAGAGAAUCUUUUCAACAGAAGAGCAGGCAGAAGGAUCAAUGUGAAAAUCCCAUACAAGUAAGAGUUAAGAAAGAAGAGACCAAUUUCAGUCACAGGACAGGAAAAGACUCUGAAGUAUCAGGAAGUAAUAGUCUUGACUUAAAACAUGUUACAUAUUUGAGAGUUUCUGGAAGAAAGGAAUCCCUUAAACAUGGCUGUGGCAAACACUUCAGAAUGAGUUCACACCACUAUGACUACAAGAAAUAUGGGAAGGGGCUCAGACACAUGAUUGGGGGCUUCAGCCUAUUGCGUAUCAUCAGAGACUUCACACUCAAGAGAAAGCAUUUAAAUGUAGGGUGUGUGGGAAAGCCUUCCGGUGGAGUUCCAACUGCGCGCGGCAUGAGAAAAUUCACACUGGAGUGAAGCCUUAUAAAUGCGAUUUAUGUGAGAAAGCUUUCCGACGACUGUCAGCCUACCGUCUGCACCGAGAAACCCAUGCUAAGAAGAAAUUUCUUGAAUUGAAUCAGUAUAGGGCAGCUCUCACCAAACGUUUAGGAUGGGAUCAAACUUUACUCGUCAUAUGAGGUUGCUUGACGAAGACACAUGCGACAUC